CUCAUGGUUUCACGGUAUUGCAAUGAAAACAAUUUAAAACCCUUAGCGAGAAUCAAGUGGAGGACAAGUCUGGUGCCAGCACCCGCGGUAAUUCCAGCUCCACUAGCGUAUAUUAAAGUUGUUGCAGUUAAAAAGCUCGUAGUUGAACCUCUGUCUGGGGCUAGUUUUGGCUUUGGUCAGGCUAGUUCUAGGCAUCCGCCUACAAGACUUAGAGGGCAUUCAGUUGUUCACUAGGAGGAGUAGGCAUUUUACUUUGAAAAAAUUAGAGUGUUUAAGGCAGGCAAUCGCCCGCAUAUAUUAGCAUGGAAUAAUAGAAUAGGACACUUUUCCAUUUCGUUGGUUAUUGGAAUCGUGUAAUGAUUAAUAGGGACAGUUGUGGGCAUUUGUAUUUAAUUGUCAGAGGUGAAAUUCUUGGAUUUAUUAAAGACAAACUAACGCGAAAGCAUUUGCCAAGGAUGUUUUCAUUAAUCAAGAACGAAAGUUAGGGGAUCAAAGACGAUCAGAUACCGUCCUAGUCUUAACUAUAAACUAUUCCGACUCAAUGUUUGACUGGCUUAUAUAACCAGUUGAGCGUUGUAUGAGAAAUCAAAGUCUUUAGGUUCUGGGGGGAGUAUGGUUGCAAAGCUGAAACUUAAAGGAAUUGACGGAAGAGCACAACCAGGAGUGGAUUCUGCGGCUUAAUUUGACUCAACACGGGGAAACUUACCAGGUUAAAACAAUAGUGGGAUUGACAGUUUGAGAGCGCUUUCUUGAUUGGUUGGGUGGUGGUGCAUGGCCGUUCUUAGUUGGUGGAGUGAUUUGUCUGCUUAAUUGCGUUAACGGACGAGACCUUAACCUGCUUACUAGACUGGCGAUCAUCAAUCGUUAGCUCUUCUUAGAGGGACUUUGGUUGUUUUAACUCCAAGGAAGUUUGAGGCAAUAACAGGUCUGUGAUGCCCUUAGAUAUCCUGGGCCGCACGCGUCAUACAAUGACUAGUUCAGAAAGUUUUCUCCUGACCCGAAAGGGGAUGGGUAAUCUUGAUAAUACUAGUCGUGUUAGGGAUCGAUCUUUGCAAUUAUAGAUCUUGAACGAGGAAUUCCUAGUAAGUGCGGUUCAUCAGACCGUACUGAUUACGUCCCUGCUCUUUGUACACACCGCCCGUCGCUUCUACCGAGUGGGUGGUCCGGUGAGAUAAUUGAACUUCGCAGGUAACUGAGAGGAAAGAUUAUCAAACCUAUCCACCU
rnacentral:rRNA from 1 species